GAUGAACGCUGGCGGCAUGCCUAAUACAUGCAAGUCGAGGGGCAGCGGGAUUGUAGCAAUACAAUUGCCGGCGACCGGCGCACGGGUGAGUAAACACGUAUCCAACCUUCCGGUUACUCGGGGAUAGCCUUUCGAAAGAAGAUUAAUACCCGAUAGCAUAAGAUUUCCGCAUGGUUUUCUUAUUAAAGAUUCAUCGGUAACCGAUGGGGAUGCGUUCCAUUAGGUAGUAGGCGGGGUAACGGCCCACCUAGCCGACGAUGGAUAGGGGUUCUGAGAGGAAGGUCCCCCACAUUGGAACUGAGACACGGUCCAAACUCCUACGGGAGGCAGCAGUGAGGAAUAUUGGUCAAUGGGCGAGAGCCUGAACCAGCCAAGUAGCGUGAAAGGAUGACUGCCCUAAUGGGUUGUAAACUUCUUUUAUACGGGAAUAACACGCGGCACGUGUGCCGCCCUGCAUGUACCCGUAUGAAUAAGCAUCGGCUAACUCCGUGCCAGCAGCCGCAGU
rnacentral:rRNA from 1 species